rnacentral:rRNA from 1 species
CAGCCGCCGCGGUAAUACGUAGGGUCCGAGCGUUGUCCGGAAUUACUGGGCGUAAAGAGCUCGUAGGUGGUUUGUCGCGUUGUUCGUGAAAACUCACAACUCAAUUGUGGGCGUGCGGGCGAUACGGGCAGACUGGAGUACUGCAGGGGAGACUGGAAUUCCUGGUGUAGCGGUGGAAUGCGCAGAUAUCAGGAGGAACACCGGUGGCGAAGGCGGGUCUCUGGGCAGUAACUGACGCUGAGGAGCGAAAGCGUGGGGAGCGAACAGGAUUAGAUACCCGAGUAGUCCCUGUCUCUUAUAA